UCCCUGGUGGCUCAGGGGUAAAGAAUCUGCCUGCAAUGCAGGAUACCCAGGUUCAAUCCCUGGGUUGGGAA
rnacentral:tRNA from 1 species